UCUUGUACAAUUGAAGGAGUGGAGGAGUUGGUCAUAGAAGCGCACAUGAUGGUUCAGCCAAGAUCAAAAUGUAGACCCAAAUGUCAAUAGAAGGCAUAGUAAGAUUCUUCAUCCUUGAACAGCCAGCGUGAGCGAAUAGAGUAAUACUUUUCUCGAAAUUCUAUUUUUUAUGAAUGAUUUGCUCCACACUGGAUAUCUAUUUGAUUGAAUUUGGAAACAAUGGAUUUGCCUCUGUGUAAUUGUUGUUGAUUACGUUAUAGCAAUGUUUUUCAUUUAUCCUUCUGGCAGCUUCUGUAGAUGGCGAACAAAUGGCAGCUUGCGAGGCAAAAAUGAAAAUAUAACAAAGGUAAACAAGAAUUACCUAGUGAUUUACAAUUCCCCUAUCGGCAAACUCGGGAUUUUAAAUUUUCAUCUAGAGGCCAAUGAACUCCUGCUACUCAUUAUUGUAUUAUUGUAUACUAUGCCUGGAAUUUCCCCGUGUCCAAAGUUCAUAUUUUCUUUUCAGAAUCCUUGGCCAUUUUGAGUUCCUUUAGUUCUUUUGUAUGUCAAAUUUGACUAAUGGCAGGUGUCCUGUUUAGGACAAAUGCCUUAUGAUUUUCUGUGAUGAACAAAAACCCUGUCAAGUUUCUCAUUGUUGCCUUGAUGGCCCUCACUAACCCUCUAAGAAGAACAUCACUUCUCAGUAUAUAUAGUGAACUAAGCUAAAAUAAAAUUCAAGGUUCAAGUGUUUCUGGUUGGUGACAAAAAAAUGUUAAAAGUAGUUUUGGCUAGUUUGUCAUGUAUGAAUGUUGACCACCUUAACAUUACCAGUUGGCAAACUAUUGUUUUGAAAGAUUAUUAAGCAAGGUAAAUUGGUGCUGCUUCUAUGACAGGUUUGGUUGGUCUACAUAAUGAUCUAGGCUUACUUUAGGACUUCAAUUUAAUCAACAGUAUCAAUGACCUUUUGCAUUAAAGGACAAUUUUUUGCCUGUCUGUGAAACAAGUUGGGACGAGGAGCUCAAGAAUUUGCUAAUUAGUUUGUAUCCCGUUUGAUCCUAUUGUUGUCAUGGAAUUGCUUUAUCACAUCACUGAUUUGGGUGUGGCUAAGUGGGCUAAGGAACUUCAAAUUCCAUACUUGAGACCGAUCAUAAUAAAGAAAAGGGAUUUUGCAGAGGAAGCAUCGGCAACAGCUGAGGACCAUCUUGCAUGCCAAACUUAAAGACAAUUUGGGGCUGGCUGGAGUGUCCCAUGGAAGUUUUGAUGCUUCUGCAUAUUCAAAUACUUGAUCUGAUCUCAACAUCACAUCCCUAAAUAAUUGUAAAUGUAUUUUUUUUCAAUUAAAUAUGCUUUUUGUACGCUCAUUAGGUUCUAGCUCUCCUUUAAUCAAAUACUAAGCUACUGAUUUUUUGUAUGUUCCCUGAUGCACAGUUGUUCGACACGGUUGCAUUCUAAUGAUAUCACUUCGGAAUUUAUGAGGC
rnacentral:lncRNA from 1 species